UGGCGGACGGGUGAGUAACGCGUAGGUAUCUAUCCUUGGGUGGGGGACAACGGCUGGAAACGGCUGCUAAUACCGCAUGAUAACUGAGGUUUAAAGGCGCAAGUCGCCUGGGGAGGAGCCUGCGUACGAUUAGCUAGUUGGUGGGGUAAAGGCCUACCAAGGCGACGAUCGUUAGCUGGUCUGAGAGGAUGAUCAGCCACAUUGGGACUGAGACACGGCCCAA
rnacentral:rRNA from 1 species